rnacentral:rRNA from 1 species
AUACGGAGGAUGCAAGCGUUAUCCGGAUUUAUUGGGUUUAAAGGGUGCGCAGGCGGCGCGUUAAGUCAGUGGUGAAAUGUCCCGGCUCAACCGGGGAACUGCCGCUGAUACUGACGUGCUCGAGUACGGACGGCGCCGGCGGAAUGUGUCAUGUAGCGGUGAAAUGCUUAGAUAUGCCACAGAACACCGAUCGCGAAGGCAGCUGGCGAUGCCGGGACUGACGCUCAGGCACGAAAGCGUGGGGAUCAAACAGUAUUAGAUACCCUGGUAGUCCACGCAGUAAACGAUGAGGACUUGUUGUCGGCGAUAGAGUGUCGGUGACAAAGCGAAAGCGAUAAGUCCUCCACCUGGGGAAUACGAUCGCAAGGUUGAAACUCAAAGGAAUUGACGGGG